GUAGGGAAUAUUGGGCAAUGGAUGAAAGUCUGACCCAGCCAUGCCGCGUGCCGGAUGAAGGCGCUCUGCGUUGUAAACGGCUUUUAUUCGGGAAGAAGAGUAGGGAUGCGUCCUUAUGUGACGGUACCGAAUGAAUAAGCACCGGCUAACUCCGUGCCAGCAGCCGCGGUAAUACGGAGGGUGCGAGCGUUGUCCGGAUUUAUUGGGUUUAAAGGGUGCGUAGGUGGCUUAAUAAGUCAGUGGUGAAAUACGGUUGCUCAACAAUCGAGGUGCCAUUGAUACUGUUAAGCUUGAAAUAAUUGGAGGCUGCCGGAAUGGAUGGUGUAGCGGUGAAAUGCAUAGAUAUCAUCCAGAACACCGAUUGCGAAGGCAGGUGGCUACGAUUUAUUUGACACUGAUGCACGAAAGCAUGGGGAGCAAACAGGAUUAGAUACCCUGGUAGUCC
rnacentral:rRNA from 1 species